rnacentral:sRNA from 1 species
GCGUGUGCACCACUGCCUCUCUCGUCUUCGCGCUCCGCCCGUAUUGCCGUCGCCUCCACUGGCCACCGCCGCCUCCUCGUUUGCACUGCCACCCUCCCACCGCACCUCCCCAUCCGCACCACUGCUUCAAAUCGUUUCCACCGCAGCGUUUUCCGCCGCCGCCGCUGCCGUGUUUCCCCAUUGAUCCGAAUCACAGCUGCAAAGAACAGAACAAGAUCGAGAUCGACGAUGGUGGAUCGAGGUCAAAAAUCAGAUCGCAAAUUCAAGCAGAAGUACUGCAACAAGACUGUCGCCAUCUCUUCCUCCCUUGCCCACUGAAUCCCAUGAUCCCAUCCCAGGUAUCUGGUAAUAAGUUACAUAAUCAAUAUAUCCCAUCCCCUCCUAUCUGUCUUCCCACGCUGUGGCCUACCACUGCAGAUCGGCUCAAAUAAAAGAGACGAUGCCAAAGAUGGAGUGAUGAAGAGCGAGGCACAAAUUUCUGUAUGGCUACAAUCAUGGGGGAAGAAUCAUGUUCUUUGAAUUGCAUCUGCUAUCAAUCAACAAGCUAGGGAGCUCAUAAUGUUCUGAUGAAGUUACUCGCAGAGGUGGAGCUUACCAACUUCAAAGAAAAGAAACAUGAACUAGAUUUUCUGAAACUAUUAUUCAGGGCAGAACCAUCACUUACAAGGAUGAGAAUAACCUGUCAUCAUUCGUUUGCUGUCUAGGAGAAACUACCUGAAGAUUUACAAAGUUUUGCUUUGCUUUUGCAAGCCAAGAAUAUUUUUGUUGAUGCGAAUUUCCUGAAAUGAAUGAGUUGUGGUUGAUGGCAGGCCUACAGAGAAGAGAAAACCUCCUUGGCUUGGGCUGAAGGAUUUUUGGUUGGCAAUAAUGCAUAAAUAGACAAACUACUGUAAUUGUGAUCACUCUAGAUUUUUUACUAUACUUCAUAACCAAAUUGUACAUUUUCAUUUUGGAAUGUUUAUUAUGUUAUCUUCUUGAG